AUGGAGGAGGGGAAGAGGAGAAAGGCGAGGCGGAUACGGCGCCUCUGGCUGUCGGAUUCGGCAUCGACGAAGCGCAAGUGGAGUAUGUGGUCGCCUAAGCGGAGGAGGACGCGGAGCAGCAGGCCAUCCUUGAAUCCACCCACUCGGAGGCGGAGGUGGAGUAUGGAUUUGAGGUUACGUGGUUGCACCGAACGCAAAAUGAGGGGUAACCAGGCCAUUUCCGCCUUUGCGCCCGGAGGCGUCCACAUACACUGUUAUAAGUUCGGCCCAACUCCUCCUUCCUCGGGUCUGGGCCGCUACUCCCACUGUCCUGACCGGCCUCUGCGUCCUCGGCAACAAAAAAACACCGCGGCAUGGCGCGUUUGCAGAGCCUCGCCGCCCUCGCCGCGGCGGCGGCGGCCGCCGUCCUCGCAGGCAGUUCGCAGGUACUCCCUCUUCCCCCUAACCUCGUGGAUCCAAGUGUCAAACACUUGCCUCUCCUUCCUCAUCGGUGCACCUACUCUCCGCAGGCCUGCUCCACAAACGCAAGUGCGGCCGCUUGACCGCGCGGCUGCGGGAGCUAGAGGACUCCCUGGCCGACGCCGUGGAGAAGGCCGCCGCAGGAUUCGGGCUCAGCAGGUCGGUCCCCCACGAAGCUCCGCACCGCAGGUUCAACUUUGCGCAUUUAACUCUCGAUUCUGGCAGUCACUACGGAGGGCCCUCAGCGAGCAGGGGGGCAGCCCGGAUAGGGGGAAGCCGGCCAAGGCCCCGGCGUUGUACCCGAUGUCGGCGACCGGCACCGUGCAGUCCUGCUUCUCCACCAGUAAAGAAUCAAGCAAGUAUCUUCAAUCUGAUGGAUCACCUGCUGCCAACGACGCAUCCGGCACCUUGGGCACCGGGAUUGACGCAUCCGGCACCUUGGGGUCCGGGGUUGGGACAUCCGGCGCCUUGGGGGUCGGGGUUGGGCUGCCGGCGACCUGGGGGUCGGGGUUGGGGCUGCCGGGGACCUGCCCAUCGCGUCCGGCCAGGGUCGAGGGUUUCGUCGAAUUCUUGAUUGGAACAGCGGUGAGGCGGAGUAGGGAGAAGCUGCGAGGUAGGGGAGGGGCUAGGUGCGAGCCGGAAGAGGCGGGGUGCGAGGAGGAAGAGGCAGCCGUGCAGCGGCGGCUGCCAUCGAUCGGCGGCGGCGGUGGGAGUACGCUGCGGCGCCGCCCUCCCUGUACCAGAAGCUAUCGGGAUGGACUAAUAGGGAAUGGUACACCGAGACAGCCUUUGGUAGUGCCGCUGCCAGAGCAACUGAUAAGUUCCUGUAAGAAGCUGCCCAAGCAAAAGCAGCCCCCCUCUUCCCUCGGCCUCACCAACCCCACCCCCCGCCGCAUCUACUCCGUCGGCAACCACGCGCCACCGCUGGCCCCCGGAGGACCCACCGCGCUCCUCCCCCACCCGGAUUUCGUCCUCUCUCGCCGCCAACGGCACCUAACCGCCGGCGCCAUCACGUUUUCGAUGGAUCCGACGGGGACUGAACCACGCAGCCCCCUCAACCACUCUGCGCCGCAUCUCGGUAUGUCCUCUCGGCGCUCGGAUCUCACUCAUCAACCUACCAACGGCAGAGCCAUGUCUGGCCGUCGCCUGGGCUCAGCACUAGUCCAGCGACUCGUCGGCUCGCUGCUGCCGGUCAUCAAGUGUGACCACUACCCGCGGCUGGCGGAGAAGAACAAAGUGUGCAAGCUCAAGAAGUCGAUAGCGAAAAGCAAUAAUGUGGGCACUGAAGAUAUAGAGAAAUUUUCUUUGGUCGGUUCUCUUAGAGAAGACUUGGUGAAAUGUGUAACCAUCAUGUCGUUUAAUAAAGGGAUCGGCUAG
rnacentral:rRNA from 1 species